rnacentral:rRNA from 1 species
UACGGAGGGGGCGAGCGUUGUCCGAAGUUAUUGGGCGUAAAGAGCGUGUAGGCGGCUAGAUAGGUCCGUUGUGAAAACUCGAGGCUCAACCUCGAGACGUCGAUGGAAACCAUCUGGCUAGAGUCCGGAAGAGGAGAGUGGAAUUCCUGGUGUAGCGGUGAAAUGCGCAGAUAUCAGGAAGAACACCCGUGGCGAAGGCGGCUCUCUGGUACGUGACUGACGCUGAGACGCGAAAGCGUGGGGAGCAAACAGG